rnacentral:snRNA from 9 species
AUACUUACCGGGCGUAGGGGAUACCGUGAUCAUUCAGGCGGUUCCCCCAGGGCGAGGCGAAUGAAGUAUCAUUGCACUGCGAAGUUGCGAAGUGGUUGACCCUUGUGAUUAUUUUAAUUUUAAUCAAUAAAAAAAUUAUUAUAAAAAAUGUACACCCGAAUAAUUAUUUU